rnacentral:lncRNA from 1 species
GGGAGGCCGAGGCAGGAGAAUGGCGUGAACCCGGGAGGCGGAGCUUGCAGUGAGCCGAGAGCCCGCCACUGCACUCCAGCCUGGGCGACAGAGCGAGACUCCGUCUCAAAAAAAAAAAAAAAAAAAAAAAAAAAAAAAAAGACACGUACACAGACAAAUGUUCUGACAGAAAUACACUGAGAUAUCUACAGUGCUUGUCUCUGGAUAGGAUAGGGUAUAAUUUAAUUGUUUAUAGUUAAGUUAAUGAACUUGGCCAGACAGACCUGGGAUCAAAUCCCGCCUCUAUCAUGAAUUGGCUGUGAGGUGUGACAUUGAAAAAGUGAUUUAGCCUUUGUUCCCCUCCAGGUCCUUAUCUGUAAGGUGGCAGUUACAAUAAUACCCACCUCCCAGGGUUAUAUGUCAAUGGGUUAGGCACAGACCUAGGAACUCAGCAAAUGGACUACUAUGAAGUAUUAGCUUUUUACUGUUUCUGGUUUUCUGAUUUUUGUCUCCUGUUGUGAACAUACGUUGCUUUUGUAAUAUGAAAAAUAAAAAAUAAAAGUUAAAUUUGUUUUGUUUGUAAGAAUCAGUUGAGGACAGAUGGGACUAUUUGCAUGGAUUGGUGUCAUGUUUGAAGUCAGUUACCAGAGGGUUUCUUUCAACAGAGUAUACCAAAAAAAAAAAAAAAAAAAAAAAAAAAAGUAAAUUGCACAGACCCCAGCUUAGGACCUGGACUUAAUCUUCAUGAUGUUUGUAAAGUAAUACUUCUUGGAGAAACCUCCCAAAUUUCUAUCGACACUAGACAUCUCAGGAUUUGAAAUGUUAAGCUAACAGAAAUUGUUCAUCAGGUGUAUCUCCAGCCCUCCGUAAACACUGCCGGAUGGAUGAACCUACGUAAUGAUCUCCUGGUGCCAUUUUCCUGACUGUAGAUACUUGGGUAAGGAGGAGACUUUGACUCUAGAUGACAUGAUGUACCCUGUGUUCUGCAAGCUGGAGAACAUCAUGUAGAAUCUGAAAAUUAGGAGAGAGAGGCAAUCAGAAGAAGACAGAGUGGUGUUGCAGGGACCUGCAGUCAGCCUAGUCCCCCAGUUUGCGUUUGAAUUUGGUCCCAGAUUUUUUUUGUUUUUGUUUUUUAGUAGUUAAAGCUGAGAGCAAACCACAUUGCUUACUAUUGUCAGGGAAUGAAAACUAUGCAACAGAAGCCGAUGUGCAGAGGUGACCGUGUUCGCUGGAAUUGAACUUAAGCAGGUUCCUACCGCACAGAUCCACACAGGAGGGAUUGCGUAAUGCACCCAGCAGAGUUGUGCUCAACUGUGAUUUUAUAAAAGACACAGAAACACAUAUUAAAUAGACAAUUCUUCUAUCAGCCCUCUAAACUGGCAUAACCUUGAAUCAUAAUUCAAUGAAUGCAUUUCUGUGAGAAGUGAAGGUAAUAAGCUCCAAGUGCUUUCGUUUCCUUUCUUUCUUUCUUAAUGCAGGGAAAAUUGAGAUGGGAUUCUCAGUUAAAACCCAAACGACGGGCCUGGGGGUUGUCACAAUGUGAUCCCUGAGGAUGUUAGCCCCAAUGUCUUUCUGUAGCCAGAACCAAUAGAAAAAUGAGAGGAGGAGAGUAGAAGCAGAAUAGCAAACAAUUUUUCCUUUCAUGGUCUACCUGUGUGACUGUGUAUAUGUCCAGAAGGGGAUGUGGUUGGGGAAGGGCAUAGUACACAUAUUUGAGCAGAGUACAUGUGUUUCAUUUCUUGCUCAUACGACAUGUCCAGUGUGGGCUGGCAUGUUCUUCUGCACAGUCCCUGAGGGACCCGGACUUAUAGAGUCUGUGAUCUCACAGCUGCUACAUCUGGCACAGAUGGCCUUCUUGAUCUCCAGUUAGGGCGAGUCACAACAGCAAUUAAAUGGUUUGGUCUGAAGUGUCACGAGUCGUUUCCUCUUGGCUGCCUACUGGCUAGGCCAGUCACGUGGCCCUGAAGAGGGUGGGAAUGUCUCAUCCCCCUGUGGGCUUAGAAGAAAACCAGAGGUCUGUGCACACUAUGGAUUUUUACUACAAUGAUGCCCUUUCACAUACAGCGAGAAGGAUUAAGAGGUACUGUAUUGUUGGUUGAUAAAGUCAAACUUGUGAACAGAGCAAAAGGGCAUUGCUUGGUCAUUGCAGCUUCCACCCAUGCACCUUACACAGAAGUUUGGGCCCUAACAUGGAAACUUUUCAACACUGGCCAAAUUCUGUUUGAAGCACUGUAUUGAGCAUACCAUAUGCUGAAAGACUUGGAAUGCAAAAACCUAAGGCCAAGGGCACUUCUCAAUAUUAAACCCUCAGUUGUAAUGGAGGCAUCAAGACUAUAAGACCCAAGACCUUAACUUUUGUGCUCCUUGUCUUGUGGAGGGAACAUCCAUCCUCAAAACAGAAACCUGUGAGAUCCCUUGAAUAUACUGACAAUACACUGAUGAGAAUUGAAUGCCCCAUAAAUUGCAUCUCCCGCAGGGCCUGAUAGGUGCCCUGUCUUCCUGCUUAUGACUCUGAAACCCUGUUUAUUUGUAUCAAGGACGGUUGGUACUUUAAUCAUCAAUAAACUAACAUCUCAACAGCCUGCCAUAAAUUUCUUGUCAAAAAAAGAGGUUAUGAUUAGAAUACUGUGAUUAAAGAGAAUUUGUAGAUAGACUUACAUCCCUCAGUUUCAAAGCUUCUAGUAGUAGGGCUUAGAGGUUCCUAGAGUAGGAAAAGCCUAGCCAAGCAGAAACCCAUGUUUUUGACUUUCAGGAUAUUUGUGAAUUAAUUUACUUGCAUAUAUUGGCCAAGAUCUAGCAUAAUCUCUUAAUAUUCAAUGAAUAAAAAAUUGAGUUUUGAGAGCAAAUAUUUUGGUAGGAAAUAGAGAACUGACACUAAUAUUCUCUCUGACUAUAAUUGUAAAACAGUAGAUGUCUUUCACCAAGCGCUAACAUUAUAUUAAUUAUUAAUAAAAUCCAACUCCUUAAUAAUACAAUCAUAGUUACCAUUUAUUGAGAGCACUCUUCUGAACAUUUUGCAUUCUUUAUUUAAUCUUCCCUACAACCUUAUUAAGUA